AUACGGGGGGGGCAAGCGUUGUUCGGAAUUACUGGGCGUAAAGGGCUCGUAGGCGGCCAACUAAGUCAGACGUGAAAUCCCCAGGCUCAACCUGGGAACUGCGUCUGAUACUGAUUGGCUUGAAUCCGGGAGAGGGAUGCAGAAUUCCAGGUGUAGCGGUGAAAUGCGUAGAUAUCUGGAGGAAUACCGGUGGCGAAGGCGGCAUCCUGGACCGGCAUUGACGCUGAGGAGCGAAAGCCAGGGGAGCAAACGG
rnacentral:rRNA from 1 species